AAUGAUGAACUUAAAAUUGCAUGAACAAGUCUAGUAAGGAUUGUUGAGUCAGUAAUAUGAUGUUCUUGACAUGAUUUGAAUCUCUAUCUGUUUGACACUGAUAUUUCAAGGAUAGCACAUUUGGAAAGAUGACCAUGUUAGCUAUGAUAGUUUAAAUGGAUAGAUAAUAGAGGUCUAAAGGAUGAAUGCUAGUGAAAUAAAAGAGCAAGUUAAAUAGUUAGUGAAGACUGAAUUUAGAUAUGAACUCAAGUUUGGGAGAAAAAUAUAUGGAGUAUAUAAG
rnacentral:lncRNA from 1 species